rnacentral:rRNA from 1 species
CCUACGGGUGGCAGCAGUGAGGAAUAUUGGUCAAUGGGCGGGAGCCUGAACCAGCCAAGCCGCGUGAGGGAAGAAGGAGGACGGUACCUGACUAAGAAGCUCCGGCUAACUACGUGCCAGCAGCCGCGUUAAUACGUAGGUGGCAAGCGUUAUCCGGAUUUACUGGGUGUAAGGGGGGCGCAGACGGCAGCGCAAGCCAGGAGUGAAAGCCCGGGGCCCAACCCCGGGACUGCUCUUGGAACUGCGCGGCGGGAGUGCAGGAGGGGCAGGCGGAAUUCCUGGUGUAGCGGUGAAAUGCGUAGAUAUCAGGAGGAACACCGGUGGCGAAGGCGGCCUGCUGGACUGCGACUGACGUUGAGGCCCGAAAGCGUGGGGAGCAAACAGGAUUAGAUACCCUUGUAGUC